AGGCGGCAAUCAGACUCACCUGCCCUCCAGCGAUGUACUGGAGGAGGAGGCACGCCAUGGAAGAGCCCAGCAGCUGGACGAUCACGUAGAGGACGCAGCGGAAGACGGUGACGUAGCCGCCGGCGGCAAACCCGAUCGUGACGGCGGGGUUCAAGUGCCCAGCCGAGACGUCGAGGCCGACGGCUACCAUCACCGCCACCAGCAUCGCCUGAGCCACCGCCACCGCCGUCAGUCCCAUGAUCGAGUCCUGCCCUCCUGCCAUCUUCCCUGCAACAACAACCACCGAUGCCACCCCUCAAAUACCAAACCC
rnacentral:lncRNA from 1 species